AAAAAACUUACGGAUCAAGUUGAU
rnacentral:miRNA from 1 species